rnacentral:rRNA from 1 species
AAUGAACGCUGGCGGCGCGCCUAAUACAUGCAAGUCGAGCGAGAAGACGUAGCAAUACGUUUGUAAAGCGGCGAACGGGUGAGGAAUACAUGGGUAACCUACCCUAGAGUGGGGAAUAACUAGCCGAAAGGUUAGCUAAUACCGCGUACGCUCCUUGGACUUCGGUUCAGGGAGGAAAGCGAUGCCGAGGGUAUCGCGCUCUUGGAUGGGCUCAUGUCCUAUCAGCUUGUUGGGAGGUACGGCUCACCAGGCUUCGACGGGUAGCUGGUCUGAGAGGACGAUCAGCCACAC